UACGAAGGGGGCUAGCGUUGCUCGGAAUUACUGGGCGUAAAGCGCACGUAGGCGGCCUUUUAAGUCGGGGGUGAAAUCCUGGAGCUCAACUCCAGAACUGCCCUCGAUACUGGAAGACUCGAGUCCGGGAGAGGUGAGUGGAACUGCGAGUGUAGAGGUGAAAUUCGUAGAUAUUCGCAAGAACACCAGUGGCGAAGGCGGCUCACUGGCCCGGUACUGACGCUGAGGUGCGAAAGCGUGGGGAGCAAACAGG
rnacentral:rRNA from 1 species